GACGAACGCUGGCGGCGUGCCUAAUACAUGCAAGUCGAACGAACCGCGACUAGGUGCUCGCACUUGGUCAAGGUGAGUGGCGAACGGGUGAGUAACACGUGGGUAACCUACCUCAUAGUGGGGGAUAACAGUCGGAAACGACUGCUAAUACCGCAUAGGACAUAGGAUCACAUGAUCCAGUGAGGAAAGGUGGCGCAAGCUAUCGCUAAGAGAUGGACCCGCGGUGCAUUAGCUAGUUGGUAGGGUAAAGGCCUACCAAGGCGAUGAUGCAUAGCCGACCUGAGAGGGUGAUCGGCCACAUUGGGACUGAGACACGGCCCAAACUCCUACGGGAGGCAGCAGUAGGGAAUCUUCCGCAAUGGACGCAAGUCUGACGGAGCAACGCCGCGUGAGUGAAGAAGGUCUUCGGAUCGUAAAGCUCUGUUGUUAGAGAAGAACAGCGCAUAGAGUAACUGUUAUGCGUGUGACGGUAUCUAACCAGAAAGCCACGGCUAACUACGUG
rnacentral:rRNA from 1 species